CAUCAUGCCGCGUGAGUGAAGAAGGCCUUCGGGUUGUAAAGCUCUUUUGUCAGGGAAGAAACACCGGCUCUAACACAGUCCGGGAAUGACGGUACCUGAAGAAUAAGCACCGGCUAACUACGUGCCAGCAGCCGCGGUAAUACGUAGGGUGCGAGCGUUAAUCGGAAUUACUGGGCGUAAAGCGUGCGCAGGCGGUUAUACAAGACAGGCGUGAAAUCCCCGGGCUUAACCUGGGAAUGGCGCCUGUGACUGUAUAGCUAGAGUGUGUCAGAGGGGGGUAGAAUUCCACGUGUAGCAGUGAAAUGCGUAGAUAUGUGGAGGAAUACCAAUGGCGAAGGCAGCCCCCUGGGAUAACACUGACGCUCAUGCACGAAAGCGUGGGGAGCAAACAGGAUUAGAUACCCUGGUAGUCCACGCCCUAAACGAUGCUGACUAGUUGUUCGGGAUUUACAUCCUGAGUAACGUAGCUAACGCGUGAAGUCAGCCGCCUGGGGAGUACGGUCGCAAGAUUAAAACUCAAAGGAAUUGACGGGGACCCGCACAAGCGGUGGAUGAUGUGGAUUAAUUCGAUGCAACGCGAAAAAACUUAA
rnacentral:rRNA from 1 species